GGCAGGGGCGGAGCUAAAAGUGGCAGAUAACUGCUGCAGGAAAGAGUCCCUGCUUCCCCAACAAACAAACAGUCUCCAGGAGCUGCACUGCAAUGAACAAUGAACAGAGGUAACUAUAUGUAAUUGUCAGUAUGAGUGUGACUGUCUGCGUGUCUAUGACUGUCUGCCUGUGUGUGUGUGUAUGACUGUCUGCCUGUGCGUGUCUGUGUGUGUGUGUGUGUG